rnacentral:rRNA from 1 species
GAUGAACGCUGGCGGCGUGCCUAAUACAUGCAAGUCGAGCGAACGGACGAGAAGCUUGCUUCUCUGAUGUUAGCGGCGGACGGGUGAGUAACACGUGGAUAACCUCCCUAUAAGACUGGGAUAACUUCGGGAAACCGGAGCUAAUACCGGAUAAUAUUUUGAACCGCAUGGUUCAAAAGUGAAAGACGGUCUUGCUGUCACUUAUCGAUGGAUCCGCGCUGCAUUAGCUAGUUGGUAAGUUAACGGCUUACCAAGGCAACGAUGCAUAGCCGACCUGAGAGGGUGAUCGGCCACACGGGAACUGAGACACGGUCCAGACUCCUACGGGAGGCAGCAGUAGGGAAUCGUCCGCAAUGGGCGAAAGCCUGACGGAGCAACGCCGCGUGAGUGAUGAAGGUCUUCGGAUCGUAAAACUCUGUUAUUAGGGAAGAACAUAUGUGUAAGUAACUGUGCACAGCUUGACGGUACCGAAUCAGAAAGCCACGGCUAACUACGUG